rnacentral:rRNA from 1 species
CAGUCGAGCGAACAGAUAAGGAGCUUGCUCCUUUGACGUUAGCGGCGGACGGGUGAGUAACACGUGGGUAACCUACCUAUAAGACUGGGAUAACUUCGGGAAACCGGAGCUAAUACCGGAUAACAUUUGGAACCGCAUGGUUCUAAAGUGAAAGAUGGUUUUGCUAUCACUUAUAGAUGGACCCGCGCCGUAUUAGCUAGUUGGUAAGGUAACGGCUUACCAAGGCGACGAUACGUAGCCGACCUGAGAGGGUGAUCGGCCACACUGGAACUGAGACACGGUCCAGACUCCUACGGGAGGCAGCAGUAGGGAAUCUUCCGCAAUGGGCGAAAGCCUGACGGAGCAACGCCGCGUGAGUGAUGAAGGGUUUCGGCUCGUAAAACUCUGUUAUUAGGGAAGAACAAACGUGUAAGUAACUGUGCACGUCUUGACGGUACCUAAUCAGAAAGCCACGGCUAACUACGUGCCAGCAGCCGCGGUAAUACGUAGGUGGCAAGCGUUAUCCGGAAUUAUUGGGCGUAAAGCGCGCGUAGGCGGUUUCUUAAGUCUGAUGUGAAAGCCCACGGCUCAACCGUGGAGGGUCAUUGGAAACUGGGAAACUUGAGUGCAGAAGAGGAAAGUGGAAUUCCAUGUGUAGCGGUGAAAUGCGCAGAGAUAUGGAGGAACACCAGUGGCGAAGGCGACUUUCUGGUCUGUAACUGACGCUGAUGUGCGAAAGCGUGGGGAUCAAACAGGAUUAGAUACCCUGGUAGUCCACGCCGUAAACGAUGAGUGCUAAGUGUUAGGGGGUUUCCGCCCCU